AGGAUUCUCUGCAUCUUGGCGUCUUCAAAGUAUUUGAAGGCUUCAGUCUCUGAGAUAUAGCUCCACAACCCAGAUGACUCAUUGAUCUAAAAGGAAGGAAAGAAGAGGCAUUAAGGUCCAGAGUAAAUGGGAAUGAAAGUUAAGCACGUGAGUAAGUGCUUGCAUGAUAAGGACUUAAACUGCCAGACCAGCUGUCUCUGAGGGGUGAUCCACACCAUCCCAGGCAUGCGACCGAAGCCGGGGGAGCCGCAAGAACUAGAGGGUCCACCAGGAUCUCAUGAGAGAGAACAUUGUAGUCCUGCGUGACAUGCAGCAGACCUUGGCCCAAAAGGUCCGCGAUGACGCCGAGUGGUGCAAUAGCAUGUGGGACCACCAUCUGGGAAGUGAUGGCAUACCUGGUUCCUGUCCCCGCUUCUGCUUUCCCCACUCCCACUCUUCCCGCUCCUGCUCCCCUCAAUUCUGCUCCCUCUGCCAUCCCUGACCCCGCUGAAGCCCUACCUAAUCCCGAGUUCAUCAAGGUCCCUGGAUGCGAGGUGGAGGUGGCACUUCCAUCCAUACCAUGUGCCACUCACAGCCCUAAGCCCCCCCCUCCCCAUUCAGGUUCUCAGCCUCCCUCCGCUCCAGUUGCUUUUAUUAUAAAAAACAAAAUAGAAU